rnacentral:rRNA from 1 species
AGUGAACGCUGGCGGUAGGCCUAACACAUGCAAGUCGAACGGCAGCACAGUAAGAGCUUGCUCUUACGGGUGGCGAGUGGCGGACGGGUGAGGAAUACAUCGGAAUCUACUUUUUCGUGGGGGAUAACGUAGGGAAACUUACGCUAAUACCGCAUACUACCUACGGGUGAAAGCAGGGGAUCUUCGGACUUUGCGCGAUUGAAUGAGCCGAUGUCGGAUUAGCUAGUUGGCGGGGUAAAGGCCCACCAAGGCGACGAUCCGUAGCUGGUCUGAGAGGAUGAUCAGCCACACUGGAACUGAGACACGGUCCAGACUCCUACGGGAGGCAGCAGUGGGGAAUAUUGGACAAUGGGCGCAAGCCUGAUCCAGCCAUGCCGCGUGAGUGAAGAAGGCCUUCGGGUUGUAAAGCCCUUUUGUUGGGAAAGAAAAGCAGCAGGUUAAUCCCCCGCUGUUCUGACGGUACCCAAAGAAUAAGCACCGGCUAACUUCGUG